rnacentral:lncRNA from 1 species
GUUUCCUGGAUGCACGUCGCAGCUCUGCACAAACCCUUCUGCACACACGCUCCACCUCGGCCACAGGCAACUUCCCUGCCAGCCCUAGGAGUGUCCCGAGCAAAAUCUGCCCGUCAUAGGAAAUAGAAGAGCCAGUUUUAGAUGGACUCAAAAGAAACAUUUGUCCCAUUGUUUCAUGUGAAGUACACCAAACAUUGAUCCAAGAGACUUAUUUCUUUUGCUCAAGAGCAAAAUGUUUUGCGUUUUUUUCUUCAACUGCUAAAUAGUUUCAAGUCAUUCUUAAAAAUAGUAUGGGCAGCAUUUUAUGGCUCUUCUCUAGCUCUGCACUGGCAUUCUCAAAAUACGACUGUGCUAUGUGACGUACACUGGGAGAAGUCCUCUCCAUCAGCAUCAUCAACCACUUAGACAAUAAUCUGUGUAUGACAGCAAGAGGGAUCACAAGCUUACAACAACUUUUGUGCAAGCAGUGACUCAUCACUAAAGUAUAUGGGCUGGCUUUACCUGUUACUCCAGGAUCACUGAAUGUACCAGCCCCUACAAAACUGUCCACAGGCACAGCAUGAAGUGUGUCCUCAGGCCUUAACUGGGUGCAGACCAUGAUGGUUUGCUUCUUGCUGGACUGAAAUUCACCCAUCCUUCCUGCAGCAUUUCAGAGACAGGUCUUAUGCAGAGUGCUUGCAUGACUUUUGAAUUAUAAAAUCUUUGAAAAUGUUAAUAACAACAACAAUAAACAAAUUCCUUAUUUUCCCAUUUAAAUUUCAAAAUAAAACAAUGUGCAUUUCAAGCUCCUCAAUUCAAGAAGAAAGCACCCGGGUGAAGGAACUUCAUGCACUUUCUUGACACAACCAUCUUGUUCCCUGCUCUCACCUCUAGCUCAGCCACUCAGAGGCUGAUGAUACCCACCGAAAAAAGCCAUCUUCCCUUCAAGGCAUCUGCUCCACGUUUGAUUUCCUGCACAGUUCUUUCUGUGUGCAAGAGCAAGGAGGAUGGCAAGGCAGGCAUCGAGCACUGCCUUCUCCCAUGGAUCAGCCAUGGCACAAUGGAAAACGUGGGCUCAGAUUCCAGAACUCCUUUUCUGCUUUGUGUAAAAGCUGGCAUUUGGAUAGUUCAGUUUCUUAGUAUGGAAAAAGGGAUCUGAAUCCUG